GCCGUGUGUGUGCGUCAAAACUAGAGUAACAACACUGCGUUGCCAGGGGCAGUGUGUGUUGGUGCGUGUGCGCGUGUGUCUCCGUGAUGUACAUCUAGUUCAACUGUGAAUACUUCUUGGAAGUGGAAAAAUUUCUAGUUUUCUCCGACACGUGCCUGUGUGAGUGACUUCCGGUUGGCGGUGCCGUGAACACGCGUUGCUAACGUGGCUUUUCGUGUCGGCGCACUCGUGAAUGGAAAAUGAUUUCUCGACACGAGGUGAACGGAGCGCAUGGGAUCUCGAGUGCGAUGCCUCUUGGAUAUUCGGAGUCGCUCGCGGUGCGAUAAGAACUUUUUGCCGAAAGAGACUGCCCAGCGACUGCGAGACGCGCAACAGGUGUCAGGUGCCGCUCUCGGUAACCCAAAGGUGCUUUCCGGCACGUUGAAGAUAUACAUACCCUUCGGCUUCGCACACUUCCGAACUAUCAACUAGAUGUCAAUGUGUCAGAAAGAGGAGAUUACCCUCAACCGACUUCGAGAAAAAUUGUGGAGCUCAAAAUUUUUACGAAAUCCGGAACAGCUUUUGGACUAGACCGGCUUGGACUUUCUUUGAGCGAAAGUGUAUUGAGAAAAACGUGUCACCUUACGUAACGUUUAAAAUCAGUGCUACGUUUUCACGUCCUUUUGUGAGAGUGAAAUCCACAGACCCAGAGAAAAGCUUGAGCGCAACGUGGUACCAAUCCAUGCAUGUGGCCGUACGUUAUAUAUGGGGUGGUGAGGAGCUGUUUCUUCGGUGACCUGUUGAUUGACGCAGUCUCUUUUUGACAUCGAUUUGUGUCCGCGAUUGGAAUAAACAAGCAAAAAAAAUAAAAAUCAUUUGAAGAGAGUUUCUUUGCUACGAAAAAAUCAUAAGGCCAAAAUCUCUAGAAUUCCAC